UACGGGGGGAGCAAGCGUUGUUCGGAUUUACUGGGCGUAAAGGGCGCGUAGGCGGUCAGCACAAGUCAGUUGUGAAAUCUCCGGGCUUAACUCGGAAAGGUCAACUGAUACUGUGCGACUAGAGUGCAGAAGGGGCAACUGGAAUUCUUGGUGUAGCGGUGAAAUGCGUAGAUAUCAAGAGGAACACCUGCGGCGAAGGCGGGUUGCUGGGCUGACACUGACGCUGAAGUGCGAAAGCUAGGGGAGCGAACGGG
rnacentral:rRNA from 1 species